rnacentral:rRNA from 1 species
UGGGGAAUAUUGGACAAUGGGGGCAACCCUGAUCCAGCGACGCCGCGUGUGUGAAGAAGGCCUGCGGGUUGUAAAGCACUUUUAGUGGGGACAAAAAGCCGAAGGCUAAUACCUUUCGGUCUUGAUUUAACCCAAAGAAAAAGCACCGGCUAACUCUGUGCCAGCAGCCGCGGUAAUACAGAGGGUGCGAGCGUUAAUCGGAAUUACUGGGCGUAAAGCGAGCGUAGUCGGUUAUUUAAGUCGGGUGUGAAAGCCCCGGGCUCAACCUGGGAAUUGCAUUCGAUACUGGAUAGCUAGAGUUCGGCAGAGGGAAGCGGAAUUUCCGGUGUAGCGGUGAAAUGCGUAGAUAUCGGAAGGAACAUCAGUGGCGAAAGCGGCUUCCUGGACCAGAACUGACGAUCAGGCUCGAAAGCGUGGGGAGCAAACAG